AAAUUUUGAUAAAAAUAUACAACUUAUAUCCGCCAGGGGACUACAAGCGUUAGCUUAAAACCCAAAGGACUUGGCGGUGCCUCAGACCCCCCUAGAGGAGCCUGUUCUAGAACCGAUAAUCCCCGCUUAACCUCACCCUUCCUUGCCUUUCCCGCCUAUAUACCACCGUCGCCAGCUUACCCUGUGAAGGACACAUAGUAAGCAAAAUGGGCACAACCCAGAACGUCAGGUCGAGGUGUAGCGAAUGGAAGGGGAAGAAAUGGGCUACAUUCUCUAACCAGAGAAAACGAAUUACGCUGUGAAACCAGUGUUUAAAGGUGGAUUUAGCAGUAAACAGGAAACAGAGAGUUCU
rnacentral:rRNA from 1 species